ACUGGUGAGUAACGCGUGGGUGACUACCCUGAGAUGGGGAUAGCCAUUAGAAAUAGUGGAGUAAUACCGAAUACGCUCUUUUUUGCUGUGGCGAGAAGAGGAAACAGGCUACGGCCUGGCUCGAGGAUGGGCCCGCGUCCCAUUAGCUAGUUGGUGAGGUAACGGCCCACCAAGGCGACGAUGGGUAUCCGGCCUGAGAGGGUGUACGGACACAUUGGGACUGAGAUACGGCCCAAACUCCUACGGGAGGCAGCAGCUAAGAAUAUUCCGCAAUGGACGAAAGUCUGACGGAGCGACGCCGCGUGGAUGAAGAAGGCCGAAAAAGGUUGUAAAAUCCUUUUGCUGAUGAAGAAUAAGUGGUGUAGGGAAUGACAUCAUGAUGACAUUAGUCGGUGAAUAAGCCCCGGCUAACUACGUGCCAGCCGCUGC
rnacentral:rRNA from 1 species